CCCUUAGAUGUUCUGGGCCGCACACGCGCUACACUGAAGGAGGCAGCGUGUACUCCUGGAUCAAAAGAUUUGGGUAACCCGCGAAUCUCCUUCGUGCUAGGGAUUGAGGUUUGCAAUUAUCCUUCAUGAACGAGGAAUUCCCAGUAAGUGCAAGUCAUAAGCUUGCGCUGACUACGUCCCUGCCCUUUGUACACACCGCCCGUCGCUACUACCGAUUGAAUGAUUUAGUGAGGACUUCGGACUGGGACCGAUGCGGCUUUCGGGCUGCGUCGGUAUUCUGGAAAGAUGUCCAAACUGUAUCAUUUAGAGGAAGUAAAAGUCGUAACA
rnacentral:rRNA from 1 species